UACAGAGGUGGCAAGCGUUGUUCGGAAUUACUGGGCGUAAAGGGCGCGUAGGCGGUUCGUUAUGUCCUGUGUGAAAUCCCCCGGCUCAACUGGGGAACUGCACAGGAAACUAGCGGGCUUGAGUUCGGGAGAGGGAAGCGGAAUUCCGGGUGUAGCGGUGAAAUGCGUAGAUAUCCGGAGGAACACCGGUGGCGAAGGCGGCUUCCUGGACCGACACUGACGCUGAGGCGCGAAAGCUAGGGGAGCAAACGGG
rnacentral:rRNA from 1 species